rnacentral:lncRNA from 1 species
GCUCGGGGCAGCCGCCCACUCUCUUCAGUGCCUGCAGCUGGGAUGAAUCCUGCAGGGGCAGAUAGCAGCCAUGGUGGGGAGAACAGCCCCUGUCCUCAGCAGCCACACAGGAACAUGGUCCUCAGGGCCCAUCACUGGGGACCAAGCGGUCACUCUGCGCCUGACAGAGAGGCGCCCAGGGUCUGCAGGUACUUCCAGCGUGGCUUCUGCUUCCGUGGAGACAGGUGCAGCUGCUGCCUGGGAGCCCAGCCUGGCCCAGGAGCCCCAGCCCGGGUCCGACCCGGUCGGGGAGCUCUCGGGCGCCCUUCAGAGCCUGGACCUGGCAGAGGUAGGGCGGGGCUGCGGGGCAGGGGUG